UUCAGCUUCUGUUUCCGUAGGUCUUCGUACUUCUUCCUCCCUUCGAGGUACUCAGCAACUGCCUCAUUUGGGGCCUUCCCGUCAACUGUAAGGUCACAUCACCUUCAGUUAGUCUCAUCAGUUUGAAGGAUUUCUAAGGAUGUAAAACUAAUCAAAUACACUUUCGACAUACUCUGACGCCACUGUAAAACAAAUUUAAGUGCUAUUAAUACACAGAGUUGAACAACAAAUGUAUCGCGUUACAGUCUAAAAGUCAAACUAUGAUCAAACUUGCUGGAACAUGGCUGCAGUGCAGAGUUCAAACAUGGCAGGACGCUUUAAUCUUUGUGUAGACCUUCUCGUAAAUGUGAGCCCGCAAGACCUAAACACAAAAUGAUACGGAGUCAUAACAGAGACCACGUGUUUACUGGGAGCUACAGCCUGUCCAGGCCUCUGGUAUCCACACAGAAAAGCUACUCUGCAUCUCAGCAGAUGUUUUUAAGCGGCCCGAAUCAUUUGUUCAUCAUCAGCUUCUCAUACCGCUGGAGACAAAAAAAAAAUGUGCUGGGUCAAGUGGGCCCACAUUGAAGUUCAGCCGAUCGCCGUACCGACAUCCAAAGCGGAUGUAAGUGUCGGAAUAAUGUUGACUGUGAGAACUCGCUAAUCAUACAACAAAAUACCAGGAUGUCAAGGCAGCAAAGUUGUUCCUGUAGAGAGAAGGGAAGAGGACACGAAUUACCACCAGGACCUAAAUGUCAGUGUUAGGACAGGAAGCACUUCUCAUUCUGCUCCAGACCGAGACCUACAGCUCCAUGGGCAUCAUCACUGCAACUAGAACACGAAUCAGCAAG